UCCCAAGCCUUCUGGCGAUCCACAACAAGUUCUUUGUAGAACUUUAAAAAAAGCAUUUUGCAUUAAAAGAAUGCUUUCAUGUGAUAAUGCCGGGGAAGGUUUUCCGGUUUAUCCCGGAGGGCUUGUAGCUCAGUUGGUUAGAGCGCGCGCUUGAUAAGCGUGAGGUCGGAGGUUCAAGUCCUCCCAGGCCCACCAAUUAUCCAUCGAUAGAAAAGCGCUUAGGAAGCUUGAAAAGAGCUUUCUCGUAAAGUUUAAAAAAACUUGUUUAUCGCUUUUUGUAAGAUGUGGCGUUUGUCUGUUUUUAAAGCGGUCGAGACCAAAAGUGUUGCAAAGACAAGAGUCUUGGAGCAGGAAAGAACAUAAGAUCCAGGUGGUGUCACAUGGUCUAGAGUUAAACUGUUCAGGAUUGGAAUAUUCCAUGUUGAAAUGCUGCGAUAUAAAGGUUUCGGAUAAAUUAUUCCGUUUUGGGGCCGUAGCUCAGCUGGGAGAGCACCUGCUUUGCA
rnacentral:misc_RNA from 1 species